ACUGUGUGUUGUUGGGUAGGGGAGCGUUCUGUAAGCCUGUGAAGGUGUGUCGUGAGGCAUGCUGGAGGUAUCAGAAGUGCGAAUGCUGACAUAAGUAACGAUAAAGCGGGUGAAAAGCCCGCUCGCCGGAAGACCAAGGGUUCCUGUCCAACGUUAAUCGGGGCAGGGUGAGUCGACCCCUAAGGCGAGGCCGAAAGGCGUAGUCGAUGGGAAACGGGUUAAUAUUCCCGUACUUGGUGUUACUGCGAAGGGGGGACGGAGAAGGCUAUGUUGGCCGGGCGACGGUUGUCCCGGUUUAAGCGUGUAGGUGUGUGUUCCAGGUAAAUCCGGUUCACUUUAACACUGAGGCGUGACGACGAGGCACUACGGUGCUGAAGCAACAAAUGCCCUGCUUCCAGGAAAAGCCUCUAAGCAUCAGGUAACAUCAAAUCGUACCCCAAACCGACACAGGUGGUCAGGUAGAGAAUACCAAGGCGCUUGAGAGAACUCGGGUGAAGGAACUAGGCAAAAUGGUGCCGUAACUUCGGGAGAAGGCACGCUGACACGUAGGUGAAGUGAUUUACUCAUGGAGCUGAAGUCAGUCGAAGAUACCAGCUGGCUGCAACUGUUUAUUAAAAACACAGCACUGUGCAAACACGAAAGUGGACGUAUACGGUGUGACGCCUGCCCGGUGCCGGAAGGUUAAUUGAUGGGGUCAGCGCAAGCGAAGCUCCUGAUCGAAGCCCCGGUAAACGGCGGCCGUAACUAUAACGGUCCUAAGGUAGCGAAAUUCCUUGUCGGGUAAGUUCCGACCUGCACGAAUGGCGUAAUGAUGGCCAGGCUGUCUCCACCCGAGACUCAGUGAAAUUGAACUCGCUGUGAAGAUGCAGUGUACCCGCGGCAAGACGGAAAGACCCCGUGAACCUUUACUAUAGCUUGACACUGAACAUUGAGCCUUGAUGUGUAGGAUAGGUGGGAGGCUUUGAAGCGUGGACGCCAGUCUGCGUGGAGCCGACCUUGAAAUACCACCCUUUAAUGUUUGAUGUUCUAACGUGGACCCGUAAUCCGGGUUGCGGACAGUGUCUGGUGGGUAGUUUGACUGGGGCGGUCUCCUCCUAAAGAGUAACGGAGGAGCACGAAGGUUGGCUAAUCCUGGUCGGACAUCAGGAGGUUAGUGCAAUGGCAUAAGCCAGCUUGACUGCGAGCGUGACGGCGCGAGCAGGUGCGAAAGCAGGUCAUAGUGAUCCGGUGGUUCUGAAUGGAAGGGCCAUCGCUCAACGGAUAAAAGGUACUCCGGGGAUAACAGGCUGAUACCGCCCAAGAGUUCAUAUCGACGGCGGUGUUUGGCACCUCGAUGUCGGCUCAUCACAUCCUGGGGCUGAAGUAGGUCCCAAGGGUAUGGCUGUUCGCCAUUUAAAGUGGUACGCGAGCUGGGUUUAGAACGUCGUGAGACAGUUCGGUCCCUAUCUGCCGUGGGCGCUGGAGAACUGAGGGGGGCUGCUCCUAGUACGAGAGGACCGGAGUGGACGCAUCACUGGUGUUCGGGUUGUCAUGCCAAUGGCACUGCCCGGUAGCUAAAUGCGGAAGAGAUAAGUGCUGAAAGCAUCUAAGCACGAAACUUGCCCCGAGAUGAGUUCUCCCUGAGACUUAGAGUCUCCUGAAGGAACGUUGAAGACGACGACGUUGA
rnacentral:rRNA from 1 species